rnacentral:rRNA from 1 species
UACAGAGGUCUCAAGCGUUGUUCGGAUUCAUUGGGCGUAAAGGGUGCGUAGGCGGCGAGGCAAGUCAGGUGUGAAAUCUCGGGGCUCAACUCCGAAACUGCACUUGAUACUGCCUUGCUAGAGUACUGGAGAGGAGAUUGGAAUUUACGGUGUAGCAGUGAAAUGCGUAGAUAUCGUAAGGAAGACCAGUGGCGAAGGCGAAUCUCUGGACAGUUACUGACGCUGAGGCACGAAGGCCAGGGGAGCAAAAGGG